ensembl:lncRNA
GUUAGGAUGAAGACCUGGUUUGGGACCAUGUUAUACAUGAUUUUACUCCGUUUGAAAGCUCCCCUUGCUUCAGGAAAUCACAUUUCAAACAUUGAAUAUCAUAGAGAAGAAAUGCUUGAAAUUGAUGACAUGAUUGAGGAGGGCACUGAUCCUUCUGCUGUAAUGCAUCGUGCCAUGCAAAAACUAGAGUUCAUUCCGGAGAGAGUCUGUACUGAAGGCCCCGCAACUAUAAUAACCAAUGUUUUAGCAGCACAACUGCACAAGGCUGGUGUGGACUUUGCUGGCCUGGAUAUUUAUGCCAGUCUGAGAAAUGUGUCCACAUAUCAAGAUGAGGUGAAGAACAUCUCAGUCCAUGUUCAGCUACCCAAAUCUGUCUUGGGUCCUCAAGACUAUGACAAGAUCAUACAAUUCUGCUUGAUCACGUUCCCCAACCAGACUGAGGUUCUCUACGGUCAGUUGGUGGGACUGGACAUCAGACACACACGAAUCUCAGGGCUAACUGACCGUAUCAAUAUCACAAUGAUGUUGAAUAGGCCCUCAGCCCUUCUAGAGGUACGAACAAAGAUCGCACUGCAAAUCCUCCACCCGGGUGCUACGUACAGACAGACAGAAACAAUUGCUCCUAAACCCUGAUUCGAUGUUAUUUUUUUUUGUCUACAGAAGGAAAAAGUGCCACAGUGCAACUUUUAUAAUUUCAC